CUAGUUCCUGUAUUAUGAUAGUAAAUGAUAAAUCCCAAUUUACUUUCUCCUCACAAUUUAGUAUUUUGUCAACC